UACGUAGGGACCAAGCGUUGUUCGGAUUUACUGGGCGUAAAGGGCGCGUAGGCGGCAAUUCAAGUCAUCUGUGAAAUCUCCGGGCUUAACCCGGAAAGGUCAGAUGAUACUGCUUUGCUAGAGUGCGGAAGGGGCAAUCGGAAUUCUUGGUGUAGCGGUGAAAUGCGUAGAUAUCGGGAAGAACACCCGUGGCGAAGGCGGCUCUCUGGGACGGUACUGACGCUGAGACACGAAAGCGUGGGGAGCGAACAGG
rnacentral:rRNA from 1 species